CUCAUCUCCUUCCUCUCCUCACGACCUUCACCCAUCCCUCGACGGCGAUGAGUCGCUUCCCCUCCCUCCACGCUCCAUCCAUCUCUCCCUCCCUGCGACCUCCCGUGAUGUCAUGGAUGUGACAGGUCGGCGGGAGCGGCGCCGGCCCCGGCGGAUUGAGAUGGCUCGGAUGAGGCACUAGCAGCACGGCGGCAGAGGUAGGGGCUUGCGAUUGUGAUGCAGGAGAAGGCGAACGCAACGUGUAGGUGCUGCUCGGCUACGCCGGCGGAGGCGCAAGCCUAUAGUCUCCAGCGCCAGUGGAUCUGUUGCAGGGAGCCUGAUGCACAAGCUUUUGCAAUAGCGGAUCUGAUGAAGGAGCCAACGAUUUUGUGUCUCCCAAAGCUGAGGUGGUUCGAGAAGCUUUGCCAUUAGAAUGAGCCCAGGGUCAAUCUGGAUAAAUACACACAUGACUACAGGCCACCUUGGUGGAUACAAACACCUUUCUUUGUUCUUUCUAGUUCUUGCAGAUUAAUUCAUACUCCUUCUAGAUUGUGGAGAAGUAUUUUUUGACAGAUUGUGGAUGCAAACCAUCUUGCAGAUUGUGGAGUAGUAUUUUUUUAACGAUUUCUUUUUUCAAACUAGAGGUUCUUAAUUUUUUGUUAGCAUAUUCGGUUUAAAACUUCAUUUUUUUUUCUGGAUACCUGUGUAAUCGAUGGGUGCAGAGAACCCAGUUAAACCUUUUUUUUCAGUGAGGACAGUGUAGAGAACACAGUACAAUUCUGUGUAAUGUUGUUGUUGAGGGCAUUUUGGUAUUUUCAUGGUUGUACUAAGUUUGCAUUGGGAAUCCAGGAGUUGAAUUAUUGUGGGA